rnacentral:rRNA from 1 species
UGGCGGACGGGUGAGUAACGCGUAAAGAACUUGCCCUUUAGACUGGGAUAACAGAGGGAAACUUCUGAUAAUACUGGAUAAGUUAGUAUAUCGCAUGAUAUGCAAAUGAAAGCUACGGCACUAAAGGAGAGCUUUGCGUCCUAUUAGCUAGUUGGUAAGGUAAGAGCUUACCAAGGCGAUGAUAGGUAGCCGGCCUGAGAGGGUGGACGGCCACAAGGGACUGAGAUACGGCCCUUACUCCUACGGGAGGCAGCAGAU